AUUACUCCCACCAAGUAUCCGUCCGGGCACACCUGCCAUUUGAAGAAACCACUCACACAUGCCUUACUAGCAUUAUGGGUGUUAGAGCAUUAUGGGGGAUGUAGUCCACAACAUCUGGAGUGCCGAAGGUUGCCUAUCCUUGGGUGUUUCUGUACAUCUCUGUAAUUUUCCAUAGACACUGGAUUUUGUCCAAAUGGUCAAACUCCAGUGAAAAUGACCGAAUUCCGCCCGCAAUGGCAGAUCUCAUAUUUACUAAAGCCAAAUAUGGCCCUUCAUCAAAUUUGCAGCAAUCGCCUGGUUGAAUUCGGUGUCCACAUUAAAAUCUGUACUUUCGCAUCCAACUCAUACUAAGAAUAUAAUUCAGAAGAUUCACAAAGCACCGGUUUUAAUAACAUUUUGGACCGAAUGCAUCCAGCAGGAUGCACAUUUGUAAAUUCUCUCGCUAUCUGGAAGGGAGGAGGGAAGGGGGUGACCACCUGUACUCAGAGUGGUAUGUCCGCCCAAUGUUUUCCCUAUUCCCGCAAGGAUUCAGUGAUUGUAUCGCUCUAUCUACCAUAUACCCAAACAUCAGUCGAGACUUGACGAAGGGUACAAAACAACUGUUUCAUUAGGCCAAGGUGUCUAGUUAUUAGGGAUGUGCAUGGGCAAAAUAUUCGUUUGGGUUCGGCAUUCCAAAAUUUGGCACUUCGGUUCUGUUCGGCACUUCCGAAAUUCGGGUCUUCGGGACUUAAGUGUAGGGUAAGUGUAUGGUUAGGUUAAGGGGUAAAGGUACCCCUACCCUAACCAUAACCCUACUCCUAACCCAACCCUAAACCUACUCCUAACCCUACCCCUAACCCACCCAUAACCCUACUCUUAACCUAACCCUACUCCUAACCCAAACCUACUCCUACCCGUUUUGCCACUUUUCAGAAGUCCGAAACACUUCGGCACUUCCGAAAUUCGGUUUGGCACUUCGGCCAUUCGGAAGCAUUCGAAUGUCUGAAAUUUGUCCAAUUUCCAUUCGGAUCGAACCGAAUUGCACAUGUCUACUGGUUAUAUACACAACCCCCAGCAUUGGGUCCCUAUUCAUGAAACAGUAGUCCCACACAGGCCUCUCUGUGUCUUGGAGAUAAGUGAGUUUGCCUUUGCUUAAACUAUCUCCCAGACACACGAGGUACAACAUAUAAGCACCCCAAAACAUACUAAAAACAGGCAGGAGCCCCACAUAUUGUAUAUGCCUGCAUUGCCCGUAUCUAAAAGCCCAAGUUGUCCAAAUAGGUCCUAACAGUCACAGCAGAGGGCACAAAGAUGGGCACAAGAGGGUAAGGGAACUGGAAGAAGGGCACUGGUGGGGAGGAAGGGCUAAGGAAGAGCACAGAAAGGAGGAGUGGAGGAGGAACAGAAGAAAGGCACAGGAAGGGGAACUGAAGGGAAAGGCGUGCACAAAGUGACACACUGAGGGGGCACAAAGACACACAGAAGGGCUGUGGGAAAGAAACAUGAAGAGGGGAAUGGGAAAAAAAGACACAAAGGGGUUAGGGGAGAAACAGCCGCACCAUAGGGCUGGGGGAAUACUAAAAACAGGCAGGAGCCCCACAUAUUGUAUAUGCCUGCAUAGCCCGUAUCUAAAAGCCCAAGUUGUCCAAAUAGGUCCGAACAGUCACAGCAGAGGGCACACAGAUGGGCACAAGAGGGUAAGGGAACUGGAAGAAGGGCACUGGUGGGGAGGAAGGGCUAAGGAAGAGCACAGAAAGGAGGAGUGGAGGAGGAACAGAAGAAAGGCACAGGAAGGGGAACUGAAGGGAAAGGGGUGCACAAAGUGACACACUGAGGGGGCACAAAGACACACAGAAGGGCUGUGGGAAAGAAACAUGAAGAGGGGAAUGGGAAAAAAAGACACAAAGGGGUUAGGGGAGAAACAGCCGCACCAUAGGGCUGGGGGAAGUAAGUGGCUUGCCAACCAGCCACACCAGCCUGUGUCACGCCUUACCUAUAUCCCGUCACUACUCCAGCGGUGAUCUCUUGCCGCAGCAGCCCAG